AGAGAAUGUGCAGAAAGGAGAUUUUUUUUGGCCACAGAGUUUUUGCUAAAAGCAGCUAGCAAGCCCCACGGCUCCAGUGUGCGUGAACUCCUGGUAAUUUCCUUGGGGAAUCCCGCCUCAGAGAACCUCUACCCCGAGAAUUAGGAGGAAGCUGAGCUAGGCUGACUUGAGGAAAGAGACCUGGAGGAGGAGGAUGGAGUUUCACUUACAUCCAGGCUCGAGUGCAGUGGUGUGAUCUUGGCUCACUGGAACCUCUACCUCCUGGGUUCAAGCGAUUCUCGUGCUUCAGCCUCCCGGGUAGCUGGGA